rnacentral:rRNA from 1 species
UACGAAGGGGGCUAGCGUUGCUCGGAAUCACUGGGCGUAAAGCGCACGUAGGCGGAUUGCUAAGUCAGGGGUGAAAUCCUGGAGCUCAACUCCAGAACUGCCUUUGAUACUGGCGACCUUGAGUCCGGGAGGGGUGAGUGGAACUGCGAGUGUAGAGGUGAAAUUCGUAGAUAUUCGCAAGAACACCAGUGGCGAAGGCGGCUCACUGGCCCGGUACUGACGCUGAGGUGCGAAAGCGUGGGGAGCAAACAGG